rnacentral:rRNA from 1 species
GGGCGUAAAGCGAGCNCAGGCGGUUAGAUAAGUCUGAAGUNAAAGGCUGAGGCUUAACCAUAGUAUGCUUUGGAAACUGUUUAACUUGAGUGCAGAAGGGGAGAGUGGAAUNCCAUGUGUAGCGGUGAAAUGCGUAGAUAUAUGGAGGAACACCGGUGGCGAAAGCGGCUCUCUGGUCUGUAACUGACGCUGAGGCUCGAAAGCGUGGGGAGCGAACAGGAUUAGAUACCCUGGUAGUCCACGCCGUAAACGAUGAGUGCUAGGUGUUAGGCCCUUUCCGGGGCUUAGUGCCGCAGCUAACGCAUUAAGCACUCCGCCUGGGGAGUACGACCGCAAGGUUGAAACUCAAAGGAAUUGACGGGGGCCCGCACAAGCGGUGGAGCAUGUGGUUUAAUUCGAAGCAACGCGAGGAACCUUACCAGGUCUUGACAUCCCGAUGCCCGCUCUGGAGAUAGAGUUUUACUUCGGUACAUCGGUGACAGGUGGUGCAUGGUUGUCGUCAGCUCGUGUCGUGAGAUGUUGGGUUAAGUCCCGCAACGAGCGCAACCCUUAUUGUUAGUUGCCAUCAUUCAGUUGGGCACUCUAGCGAGACUGCCGGUAAUAAACCGGAGGAAGGUGGGGAUGACGUCAAAUCAUCAUGCCCCUUAUGACCUGGGCUACACACGUGCUACAAUGGCUGGUACAACGAGUCGCAAGUCGGUGACGGCAAGCUAAUCUCUUAAAGCCAGUCUCAGUUCGGAUUGUAGGCUGCAACUCGCCUACAUGAAGUCGGAAUCGCUAGUAAUCGCGGAUCAGCACGCCGCGGUGAAUACGUUCCCGGGCCUUGUACACACCGCCCGUCACACCACGAGAGUUUGUAACACCCGAAGUCGGUGAGGUAACCUUUUAG